rfam:Trichoderma reesei QM6a unplaced genomic scaffold TRIREscaffold_26, whole genome shotgun sequence.
CAACAUGAUGAUCAAUUUCAAUCAAUAUACGCUGGAAAUUACCGGCUGAGUUAUCCUUUGAUGAUAUUCUUAGGCUAUGACUGACC